GCCGUUUUAGCUCAGUGGUAGAGCACUUCCUUGGUAAGGAAGAGGUCAUGGGUUCAAAUCCCAUAAAUGGCUCAA
rnacentral:tRNA from 1 species